rnacentral:lncRNA from 1 species
ACCAGGAAAAAGUUUAUAAUAGAUAUAGAAUUGACAGUAAACAAGUUUUUCAAGAUUUACAAUGAACAAUAUGAUUUGGCUUCUUGCCCUAAAAUAGAAACAAUCUGCAACACUAACUUGGUGAAAACCCCACCAAUUCAACAACAAUUGAAAUCUCUACCCUUCACUCCUUUGUGGCUUCUAGAAUCAAAGGAGAACUACCAUUAUUGCAGCAAAGGAAAAGAAAAUAACAACAGUUCUUGCGGUUAAAGCAUCUGUCAAGUGAAGGUAUGCUGCUUGAAUACUUCUUCUUUCAGUAACCAUCUGUACACAGUGAUAGUAGUGCCAAGGAAAAAAACUUAUUUGAAAAGGCAGUAAAAUAAGCUUUAGGACACAGUUGGGGCUGAAGCUACUUAUUUGAAAACAGUGAAACAACUCAUUAAAUUUAACUAAUUUUAAGAGAUCCAGUUUUAAGAAUUAAUAUUGUACAACUAAGAGCAGGCUACAAAAUAGUCAAUCAAGAAGAUUCAACUGUAUAAACUUGAUAAUUAGAGACAAUGUUUUAGCCAAAAUAUUUUAACCAACACUUCCAGCAACCACCCCGGUGAAGUGAAAUAUAUAAUAUGGUCAAUCAAGCAUAUUAAAAUUAAUAUGUUAGAAGUAAUAAAGGUGCACUGGGAAGGCAACCAUAAAGCAAGAACAACCAAUGUUAAGAGCACUGACGAUCACAGUAAUAAGAAAAAGUAACCAGUGUCAAGAGCACUGAUGAUCACAAUACUGAGAAAAAGUAUCACAUGGAAAGAACAAUGGACUGACCAGACCGUCUGAAAUCCCUGGAACUACAUAAUAUCAGAUCCCUAACAACACACAUAAUACCUACAAAGUAGUUGAUGCAAAAAUAAGUCCAAAAAUAGUUAUUUGUUUUUCUAAACCCAAAUACAGUCAGGGAGACCUCGAGACAGAUAGUUUACAGGUCGGUAAAAGAGGCUGGUGACAAAAUUGAGACACCACAAUACCUACAGAUAUGACAAAUACAUGAGAAAUGGUUGACCUGGCAAUGUUGUUCAGUGUUCAAACAAUCCCAAAAAUGAUAUUGAGAAAUCUACCCUGGCCUAGAGACAUGAGCUUAGACGGACUUUAUAGAAUGCUAAUUCAUGCACUAAACUUCUCCUAAUCAUGUAUUGCAGAUUGAGUAAUUAGAGGUGUUGCGUCAAGAACUAUAGAGAAUUCUUGUUUGCAUUAGCACAAACAAUAAAAUCAAAAGGCAGGCAUGACUCUGUUCACAAGAGAGAAAUGCCAAGUUGUUCUUAUUCACCAAAUUCUUCUGCUGGAUUAUUCCUCUUCUUUCUCAAAUCUGCACACAUCUGUUCAGAGAAGCCAGAUAUUAGGAAAGCAAAUCAGAGUGACAAAGGAUGGAGCACCUAACAGAGGUUUGUGAACUACCUCUUCAUGCCACGCCAUAAGGUGAUUACUUUCAGCCAGAUUGAUUCCAAGUUUCUAUGAAUAAAACAUAUUGCACAUGACUGGAUCUUAACGUUAUAGAUUAGCAAGCAUCUCUAGAUUCAAUCACCAUAUAUAUCUUACUCCUAAAGUUACAGGGUAAACGUAAUCAUCUACUUGCAAUUUCCAAGACAUUCUUUAUAAAUGUUAUGCAACUCAAGGAUCAUAUUCAUAUGGUGCCGUAAUUGCAUCCCACAAAAAGAAACUUAUAUGCCUAAGAAACAGAGUAAAUAUCGAUAAUACAUCAUUACCAUGAAAGAAUUUCUCUCCUAUAAAUUCAUAUCAAAGAGAUUGUGCACAGAAGCAACCCAUAUAGGUCGACUCAAGAUAUUUAAAUGAACGUAUUCAAAGAUGUUCCACGACCUUAUUUAUGGAAUUUAGACAAUUUUUGCUGCCAAGGUUAGAGCAUUGGCGCAGUGGUAAAGCUGCUGCCUUGUGACCAUGAGGUCAUGGGUUCAAGUCCUGGAAACAGCCUCUUAC